UGGCUCAGAUUGAACGCUGGCGGCAUGCCUUACACAUGCAAGUCGAACGGCAGCACGGGAGCAAUCCUGGUGGCGAGUGGCGAACGGGUGAGUAAUGUAUCGGAACGUACCUUUCAGUGGGGGAUAACGUAGCGAAAGUUACGCUAAUACCGCAUACGCCCUGAGGGGGAAAGCGGGGGAUCUUCGGACCUCGCGCCAUUAGAUGAGCCUAGGUCGGAUUAGCUAGUUGGUGAGGUAAUGGCUCACCAAGGCGACGAUCCGUAACUGGUCUGAGAGGAUGAUCAGUCACACUGGAACUGAGACACGGUCCAGACUCCUACGGGAGGCAGCAGUGGGGAAUAUUGGACAAUGGGCGAAAGCCUGAUCCAGCCAUGCCGCGUGUGUGAAGAAGGUCUUCGGAUUGUAAAGCACUUUAAGUUGGGAGGAAGGGCAGUAACCUAAUACGUUAUUGUUUUGACGUUACCGACAGAAUAAGCACCGGCUAACUUCGUG
rnacentral:rRNA from 1 species